rnacentral:rRNA from 1 species
AGAGUUUGAUCCUGGCUCAGAUUGAACGCUGGCGGCAUGCCUUACACAUGCAAGUCGAACGGCAGCACGGGAGCAAUCCUGGUGGCGAGUGGCGAACGGGUGAGUAAUAUAUCGGAACGUGCCCAGUCGUGGGGGAUAACGCAGCGAAAGCUGUGCUAAUACCGCAUACGAUCUCUGGAUGAAAGCGGGGGACUCGCAAGGGCCUCGCGCGAUUGGAGCGGCCGAUAUCAGAUUAGCUAGUUGGUGGGGUAAAAGCCCACCAAGGCGACGAUCUGUAGCUGGUCUGAGAGGACGACCAGCCACACUGGAACUGAGACACGGUCCAGACUCCUACGGGAGGCAGCAGUGGGGAAUUUUGGACAAUGGGCGAAAGCCUGAUCCAGCAAUGCCGCGUGCAGGAAGAAGGCCUUCGGGUCGUAAACUGCUUUUGUACGGAACGAAACGGUCACCUCUAAUACGGGUGGCUAAUGACGGUACCGUAAGAAUAAGCACCGGCUAACUACGUGCCAGCAGCCGCGGUAAUACAUAGGGUGCGAGCGUUAAUCGGAAUUACUGGGCGUAAAGCCGUGCGCCAGGCGGGUUUAUAUUAGACAGAUGUUGAAAAUNCCCCGGGGCUCAAACCUGGGGAACCUGCA